GAUGCCCCUUACUCUCUCUAAAAACAAAGUUCACCAGAUAUAAUGCCAAAGUCACAAAUGUCCCCUGACGUUGUAAUAACUUACCCUGGGCUAGCAUCACUGAUUCCAUCUUUGCAGUAAACUCCAACCUGGCUUCCUUCUCCCUGCCACAGCCCCUCUGAGUACAUAACUGGAUCAUGCUGCACUUAGAAGCAUUGAAGGUACUGUUCUUAUGUACCUACAAUUGUAACCAUUGUAACCGCAUCCUGCUUGGCAUAUCUCCCCACUGCUAUUGUAAGAAAAAAGUUUCCCUUUGAUCAUCGUGUAGAAGGAGCCUGAUCGACCCUGCUUCUUGGUAAUUGUAUAGAAACCACCUGUGCCCACAGCCCAUUCCUCUAACUUGCUUUUGUGCUUCUGUAAAACUCCGCUUCAGCUGGGUACUCCCCUCCCCUACCUAAAUCAGGUAUAGAAGCUAAUCAGGCCCCUUCCUCGGGCCGAGAGAAUUUUGAGCAUUAGCCAUCUCUUGGUCGCUGGCAAAUCAAUACAGGACUCUUAAUUUGGAACUCAGAGUGUGGCGCAUUCCUUCUAACUCGCUUGGUUACAACAUUUGGAAGCUCCAGGGAGAUUUCGCCACCAGGUGUAGACGGGGCUCAUUCCAGUGCCCCAGAGGAGAGUGGAUCGACUCCCGGCGCGCUCCACCAAAUUAUUCUUCAGGGUCCCUGGUCCUGCUCCGCGGAGAAGCGGGGAGGCAAACCGAGGAGAACACGCCACAGCAGAGGCCAGGACUCCAUCAAAGAUCGAAGGGAACCACACAAAGACGUCUUGUGAAUGGUGAGCCUACAGCCUGGAAAAUCAGAUUUCUCAGGAUCCUUUUAGAUCUAUGAUUUUAGAAAGUUUUUACUGUUCACCUCUAAGAAUACCAUUCAGUGCUUAGCGGUCUUCUAGGUUUAACUUCUUUGUGAAACCACAAAUCGUCGAAAGCAAUUUUCCCUCUCAAUUUUUUUAAAAAUCAUUUUUACCAAAGUUCGCAUCAGAUGUGAACAAGCCAACUAAAUCUGGUGGCUCGGUUCCUUGCUUCCCAAAUGUUUUUUUGGCCAUUGGAAAGGGAGCAUAUGAUCAUUCUCAGAAAUGGUUCUAGUAGGGCCAGAGUGUCGUCCAUAUGUGCCUUCGUCUGCCUCCGUUCCCUACCCAAGAUUUUUCUUGCUGCAACACCUUCAAAUAUUAACUCAGAGAGUGUGUAGGAACAAGUCUGUCUUGCAGGGCUACAAUCCUGUUUGAUCCUAAGAGAAUAUGGG
rnacentral:lncRNA from 13 species